ACACUGGUACUGAGACACGGACCAGACUCCUACGGGAGGCAGCAGUGAGGAAUAUUGCACAAUGGGGGAAACCCUGAUGCAGCAACGCCGCGUGGAGGAUGACGCAUUUCGGUGUGUAAACUCCUUUUUAUCAGAGAAGAAGAUGACGGUAUCUGAUGAAUAAGCUCCGGCUAACUCCGUGCCAGCAGCCGCGGUAAUACGGAGGGAGCAAGCGUUAUUCGGAAUCACUGGGCGUAAAGGACGCGUAGGCGGGUUUUUAAGUCAGGUGUGAAAUCCUAUGGCUCAACCAUAGAACUGCACUUGAAACUGGGAACCUAGAGUAUGGGAGUGGAAGAUGGAAUUAGUGGUGUAGGGGUAAAAUCCGUAGAUAUCACUAGGAAUACCGAAAGCGAAGGCGAUCUUCUGGGACAUUACUGACGCUGAGGCGUGAAAGCGUGGGGAGCAAACAGGAUUAGAUACCCUGGUAGUCCACGCCCUAAACGAUGAAUGCUAGUCGUCGGGGAGCUUGUCUCUUCGGUGAUGCACUUAACAGAUUAAGCAUUCCGCCUGGGGAGUACGGUCGCAAGAUUAAAACUCAAAGGAAUAGACGGGGACCCGCACAAGUGGUGGAGCAUGUGGUUUAAUUCGAAAAUACGCGAAGAACCUUACCUGGCCUUGACAUCCUGAUAACAUCGUAGAGAUACUUUGGUGCUAGCUUGCUAGAAAUCAGUGACAGGUGCUGCACGGCUGUCGUCAGCUCGUGUCGUGAGAUGUUGGGUUAAGUCCCGCAACGAGCGCAACCCUCGUCCUUAGUUGCCAGCAGUUCGGCUGGGCACUCUAAGGAGACUGCCUUCGCAAGGAGGAGGAAGGUGAGGACGACGUCAAGUCAUCAUGGCCCUUACGGCCAGGGCUACACACGUGCUACAAUGGGGCGUACAGAGAGUUGCGAUACCGCGAGGUGGAGCUAAUCUCAUAAAGCGUCUCUCAGUUCGGAUUGUUCUCUGCAACUCGAGAACAUGAAGCUGGAAUCACUAGUAAUCGUAGAUCAGCAAUGCUACGGUGAAUACGUUCCCGGGUCUUGUACUCACCGCCCGUCACACCAUGGGAGUUGAUUUCGCCCGAAGCGGGGAUGCUAAACUGGCUACCCUCUACGGCGGAAUUAGCGACUGGGGUGAAGUCGGAACAAGGUAACCGUAGGAGAACCUGC
rnacentral:rRNA from 1 species